rnacentral:rRNA from 1 species
CAGUAGUCACGUAGUUUGACUCCGUGGCUACAGAACGAACGCUGGCGGCAUGCCUAACACAUGCAAGUCGAACGAGACCUUCGGGUCUAGUGGCGCACGGGUGCGUAACGCGUGGGAAUCUGCCCUUAGGUUCGGAAUAACUUCGGGAAACUGAAGCUAAUACCGGAUGAUGACGUAAGUCCAAAGAUUUAUCGCCCAAGGAUGAGCCCGCGUAGGAUUAGCUAGUUGGUGAGGUAAAGGCUCACCAAGGCGACGAUCCUUAGCUGGUCUGAGAGGAUGAUCAGCCACACUGGGACUGAGACACGGCCCAGACUCCUACGGGAGGCAGCAGUGGGGAAUAUUGGACAAUGGGCGAAAGCCUGAUCCAGCAAUGCCGCGUGAGUGAUGAAGGCCUUAGGGUUGUAAAGCUCUUUUGCCCGGGAUGAUAAUGACAGUACCGGGAGAAUAAGCUCCGGCUAACUCCGUG